rnacentral:rRNA from 1 species
GACGAACGCUGGCGGCGUGCUUAACACAUGCCAGUCGAACGGAAAGGCCCUGCUUUUGUGGGGUGCUCGAGUGGCGAACGGGUGAGUAACACGUGAGUAACCUGCCCUUGACUUUGGGAUAACUUCAGGAAACUGGGGCUAAUACCGGAUAGGAGCUCCUGCUGCAUGGUGGGGGUUGGAAAGUUUCGGCGGUUGGGGAUGGACUCGCGGCUUAUCAGCUUGUUGGUGGGGUAGUGGCUUACCAAGGCUUUGACGGGUAGCCGGCCUAAGAGGGUGACCGGCCACAUUGGGACUGAGAUACGGCCCAGACUCCUACGGGAGGCAGCAGUGGGGAAUAUUGCACAAUGGGCGGAAGCCUGAUGCAGCAACGCCGCGUGCGGGAUGACGGCCUUCGGGUGGUAAACCGCUUUCGCCUGUGACGAAGCGUGAGUGACGGUAAUGGGUAAAGAAGCACCGGCUAACUACGUG